rnacentral:rRNA from 1 species
CCUACGGGAGGCAGCAGUGGGGAAUAUUGCACAAUGGGCGAAAGCCUGAUGCAGCAACGCCGCGUGAGCGAUGAAGGCCUUCGGGUCGUAAAGCUCUGUCCUCAAGGAAGAUAAUGACGGUGCUUGAGCCGGAAGCCCCGGCUAACUACGUGCCAGCAGCCGCGGUAAUACGUAGGGGGCUAGCGUUAUCCGGAAUUACUGGGCGUAAGGGGUUCGUAGGUGGUUUCUUAAGUUAGAGGUGAAAGGCUACGGCGCAACCGUAGUAUGCCCUUGAAACUGGGAAACUUGAGUGCAGGAGAGGAGAGUGGAAUUCCUAGUGUAGCGGUGAAAUGCGUAGAUAUUAGGAGGAACACCAGUUGCGAAGGCGGCUCUCUGGACUGUAACUGACACUGAGGCACGAAAGCGUGGGGAGCAAACAGGAUUAGAUACCCCGGUAGUC